UGAUCUACCAGCCUCAGUCUCCCAAAGUGCGGGGAUUUCAGGUCUGAGUCACCAUGCCCUGCCUGAAAUCUUGAUAACUUACUUUCUCACAUGACAUGUCUGAUCUGUCUGCAAAUUCUACUUGGCACUACUGCAAAAUCUAUCCAGAGCCCCACCACUUAUCACCACUGCUGCUCCAUCCUGGAUUACUGCAAUAGCUUUGUCACUGGUCUCUCUGCUUCUGCCUUUGCCCCUUGGAUGUAUUCCCAACAUGACAUCCAGCGAGUCUCCUCUGGACAGUCUGCCCCUGAUGCAGGCGAGAGCCGUAGUGGUAGUAGAGGGAGACGUAUGUCAUGAUGGAGCGCUCAUCUGGCUGCGCAGCCGCCACGUCCUCGGGGUCCAGCAGCUGAGCGAUGCCCAGCUCCUGCUCAGCCACCAGGAAGGCAAAGGCGAGGUUUUGCAGUGGGCGGUCUGGACGCAGGGAACCGUAGUCCAAAAGGUCUGGCCUGGACAGAGAACGGGAAGGGCGCCUCACCAGCAGGAACUGAAUGCUUUCCUUCAGCUCCAACAGGGCCAGCUAUAAAUCCAGAUUCCCAAGCUCCACCCAGUCAGACCCACUUGGACCAGAGUCCAGGAUUUGCACUUGAACAACACCUCAGUGGCUUCUCCAAGGCCCAUCGGAUUCUUGUAGUUCCAUGAGAUUGUAAGCACAGGACUUCAGGCCUUUGCACGGUCAUCCCUGCUGUCUGAAAGGAUUCCCAGAUAUCUGCAUGGCUAUUCACCCCUCUGCCUUUAAGCCUUCACUCAGAUGUUGCCUAGCCUGACUACUGUAUUUAACAUAGACACUUAAGGACUAUUUCUCCCACCCAAAUACACACUCUCCAUUCCCUUGGCCUGCUCAAGUGAGGAUCUUGGCUUUGUUUUCUGAUGAGUCCUAGGAGAGUGGCACACAGCAGGGACUCAAUCAGCAAGUACUAAAUGGAGAAAGAAAAGACCUGGAGUGCAGCUGGCUUCAGCUGGCCACUGCUAGCCCUGUGGGAGGGGCUGCCUCUCUUGGGGUUCCCCUUGGUAUUAGUGACA